AUCUGAGUGUAAAUAUGUCCAUGAACAGAGCUCUUCUGUCAGAGACACUCACUCCUUCACAUCUGAAACACACAACCUUAAAACAUCAGGACAAUCGAUCAUGAGAGGGUUUAGCAGAACUCUGCUCAUCUCCGUCUGUCUUCAUCUCUUAGGUGAAGGCAUUGGACAACCUAAAGCAUGUGAUCAGUCUACGUGUUUGUGUGAUGAUGAACCUAUAGAAGUUCUGCAGAACUGCACGAUAAAAGAUUUUAAUGUGACCAUCUGCCCCUUCUACACCUCAGUUGAAAAGGAUUCGGACUUGACUUUGACCUGCAUUCAUAAUGUUCCCAACGCCUCCAUCAGCUGGCUAGAGGACGAUGUGUUACAGCAAGUAGAAGAUAAUACAAAAACAUUUCAUAUCAAGCGCAUUAAGAAAACCUCAGUCAUCAGCUGCAACGUUAGUAGCAUGUGUGGGAGCUUCAACUCUACGAUAACAAUUUAUGUAAAAGAUGGUGAUUUUAUGCUGGUUUUACUGAUCUGUGUUGGAGCAGCAGCUGCUCUCCUCAUGCUGUUUGCACUAGUCAUGAAGAUCAAGCUCAAGAAAGGACAAGCUCGGAGUCAGGCCAGGAAGAGACAAAGACAGCAGAACCUGCAGAACUUCGACAGCACCGUGAACACCGUCAGCAGCUACUACUGA
rnacentral:lncRNA from 1 species